UUUCUGUUGAGCAUGCAGUGUGACUCGUGGUCGAGCAAGCAGCAAAAAAAAUUACGUUUUUAAAAUUUGAAAAUGAAUCUCGAGCAAACCAAUAAUGGAAACCUUUCACACGGCAUUUCUAUAAACGCUAAAGACAAACUGAUAUGGAGUGGAUUUUACGAGGCAUAGCAGAUAUUUGUGGAAGAAGUUGAUAUGUCAGUAUUUGGGACUGCCCAGGAGAUGAUACAAAGCGAUACAAGAGUGGUAAUAUAGAUAUAGCAUGGUAUCAAGGCUCCAAAUCUAUUACAUUAAGUGGCGAACUUAUAGAUGAAAUUAAAGAAAAGUUAAUCUCGCUGGCCUCAGUUGCAGAACAAGUCAGACAUUCUGAAGUUGUUGACGGUCAUUGCUACGAAGUUCAUGCAAAUCCUAAUCAGUUUUAUGCUCGUCAACUGUCCCUAGAGAUCUUAAAAAUCAACUAGAAGCUCUCACUAUACAGGGUGUCCCCAAAAAAGAAAACUAUUGAAAUCACUUAUUGUUAAAUUUGAAUGCCCUACCAAACAGAUGAACGUAAUGAUGCCUAUAAUUUUGACAAGGUGCUUGUAUUAAAAUUUAGUUAAGAACAAUCUCCUUGUAAUUUGCGCGAUUUUCUGCUCUUGGGAAUUUAGAACAGCUUCUUAAUUUAAACAGUUUAUUUAUGCGUAAAAUUUACUUAUGUCAAUCAUUUAUGCACUCGUGGGAACCAACAGAGCGCUAAGACAUUCAAAUUCUAACAAUCAAAUUGUUAUUGGUGACUUCAAUAGUUUUCAGGUUUUUUGGGAC